GAGGCGGCGGUGGGGCAGCGAGCGCUGGGCUCCGGCCCGGCAGCAGGAAGUGACUCGCAGCCGCUGCGGUGACUCUGGCUCCCAGGCUCCUGGCGAGAUCCCCGAGCCCCGGCGGCUGGUGCUGGGAGCCCGGAGCCCUGGCUGCAGCCGGGAGAGGGGAAUCUCCAGCAGGGCCCUUCCCGCUGCUCCCCAGGAGCCUCUCCCAGGGCAGAGCCCCCAGCCCGGCCCGGCCCCUGCCCCGGGGGGCCCCGCUCGGAGGGAAGCAUUUAUCUCAGCGACUCCCACAGUAUUCUUGCCAGCAAGUUAAAGUAGUAUGGGCUGGACGAUUGGACUAUAAGGUGGAUAGAAAGCUGAUUAGAUCGUCGGGCUCAAUGGGUGGUGAUCAAUGGCUUCAUGUCUAAUUGGCAGCCCGUUUCAAGUGGAGUGCCCCAUGGGUCGGUCCUGGGGCCAGUUUUGUUCAAUAUCUUCAUUAAUGAUCUGGAGGAUGGCGUGGACUGCACUCUCAGCAGGUUUGCAGAUGACACUAAACUUGGAGGAGUGGCUGAGGAAUCACGUCCAUCUUCCAGGGGACAGGGAAGGGAAAUGGCUGUGAUGGAACCAGCUCAGAUUCUGGUGACCUUCGAGGAGGUGGCUGUGUAUUUCACCCAGGGGCAGGGGGCUCUGCUGGACCCCGCUCAGAGAGCCCUCUACAGGGACGUCAUGCAGCAGAACCAUGAGACAGUGACCUCGCUGGGUUUCCCUGUUCCCAAACCUGACCUGAUCACCCGGCUGGAACGAGGGGAAGAGCCGUGGGUCCCGGAUCUCCAGGCCUCUGAGGAAAGUGUGAGCCUGAGAGGCACCUGCACAGGUGAUAAGACAGUGAGUGAGAACAAGGAGGAGAAUCAGCAGGAGGAAGGUCCUGAGCAAGAGAGGUUUUUGAGAAAAGCUGAAGAGAAUUUUUCCCAGGGUUUGGAACAGGGAGAAGCCUGGGGAGAUCGACGCGGAUCAGAGAAGCAGCUGGGAGACUAUCCCAGAAAGAAACUGGAUAAAUCCACUGAAUGUGGCAGAGGAUGUAAGGAUCCCAAGGAAACCACAAUCCAGCAGACAAGUCACAAUGAAGAGAAACCCUACAAAUGCCUUGACUGUGGGAAAAGAUUUAAUGCAAGGUCACAGCUUAUGUCACAUAACACAAUCCACACAGGAGAGAAGCCCUAUAAAUGCUUGGACUGUGGGAAAAGCUUCAGUAGGAAGCUAUGUCUUGUUGUACACCAGAGAUUGCACACAGGAGAGAAACCCUAUAAAUGCUUUGAGUGUGGGAAAAGUUUUAGGCAGUGGUCACAGCUUAUGUCACAUCACAGAAUCCACACAGGAGAGAAGUUCUAUAAAUGCUCAGACUGUGGGAAAAGCUUCAGCAGGAAGCUAUGUCUUAUUAUACACCAGAGAGUACACACAGGAGAGAGACCCUUUAAAUGCCUUGAGUGUGGGAAAACUUUCAUUAAGCGCUCAGACCUUAUUAAGCAUCAGAGAAUCCACACAAGCGACAAACCCUAUAAAUGCCUCGACUGUGGGAAAAGUUUCAUUGACAGAAUAAAACUUACUAGUCAUCACAGAAUCCACACAGGAGAGAGACCCCAUAAAUGCUUUGACUGUGGCAAAAGCUUCAUACAGAAGUCAAGGCUUACUGUACACCAGAGAGUACACACAGGAGAGAGACCCUAUAUAUGCUGUGAGUGUGGGAAAAGUUUUAUUCGGAGCUCAGAGCUUAUUAAACAUCAGAUCACCCACACAGGAGAGAGACCCUUUAAAUGCCGUGAGUGUGGGAAAUGUUUUAAUCAUAACUCAGCACUUAUUACACAUCAGCGAACCCACACAGGAGAGAGACCCUAUGGCUGCCUUGAGUGUGGGAAAGAUUUUAUUGAGAACUCGGCACUUACUAGACAUAGGAGAAUCCACACAGGAGAAAGACCCUAUAAAUGCCAGGAGUGUGGGAAAAGUUUCAGUGUGAAAUCAACCCUUAAUACACAUCAGAAAACCCACACAGGAGAGAGACCCCAUAAAUGCUUUGACUGUGGGAAAAGUUUCAUUCAGAAGUCAAAGCUUAGUGAACACCAGAGAGAACAUACAGGAGAGAGACCAUAUAAAUGCCUUGACUGUGGGAAAACUUUCAUUAAGCGCUCAGACCUUAUUAAGCACCAGAGUAUCCACACACCAAGCGACAAAUCCUAUAUAUGCCUCGACUGUGGGAAAAGUUUCACUGAUACGAUAAAACUUACAAGUCAUCAGAGAAUCCAUACAGGAGAGAGCCCCCAUAAAUGCUUCGACUGUGGGAAAAGCUUCAUACACAAGUCCAGGCUUAUUGUGCACCAGAGAGUGCACACGGGAGAGAAACCCUUUAAAUGCCAUGAGUGUGGGAAAGGUUUUAGUCAGCGUGCAACACUUAUUACACAUCAGCGAACCCACACCGGAGAGAGACCCUAUGGAUGCCUUGAGUGUGGGAAAAGUUUUAUCGCAAGUUCAGCCCUUGCUAACCAUAGCAGAAUCCACACGGGAGAAAGACCUUAUAAAUGCCACGAGUGUGGGAAAACUUUCAGAUACCGCUCAAACCUUACUAAACAUGGGAGAAUCCACAUUGGAGAGACGCAGUAUAAAUGCUUUGAGUGUGGGAAACGUUUUGUUGACAGAACAAAACUUACUGUUCAUCAGAGAAUCCACACAGGAGAGAGACCCCAUAAAUGCUUAGACUGUGGGAAAAGCUUCAUUCAGAAGUCAAAACUUAUUCUGCACCAGAGGGUGCACACAGGAGAGAGACCAUAUAAAUGCUUGGAGUGUGGGAAAAGCUUCAUUGAGAAGUCACAACUUAUUCUACACCAGAGAGUGCACACAGGAGAGAGACCCUUUCAAUGCUGUAAAUGUGGGAAAAGUUUUAUUCGGAGCACAGCGCUUAUCACACAUCAGAGAACCCACACGGGGGAGAGACCCUAUAAAUGCCUUGAAUGUGGCAAAAGUUUUACUCAGAGCUCAAAUCUUAUUGCACAUAAGAGAACCCACACUGGAGACAGACCCUAUAAAUGCUUGGACUGUGGGAAAACUUUCAGUCAGCGCCCACACCUUACUAAACAUGGGAGAAUCCACACAGGAGAGAGACCUGAUAAAUGCCUUGACUGUGGGAAAAGCUUCAGUAAGAGCUCAGCACUGACCAAACAUCAGAGAAUGCACAAGAAUGAGAGACCCUAGGAACAGCUUGACUGCAGGAAAAGAUUCAAGUUGACUUCACACAUCAGUGAUCCACACAACAAAGACCUUGAAUGUGGGGGAAGCUUCAUUUGGUGCUCCCGGAGUAUCAGGUGUCUGCAAAUCCCCAACAGGAAGAAACCUCUGAGAUGUUCUCAGUGUGGAGAAUGCUCCAAGUGGCGCUAACGCUAUGUUGGACAUCAGAGACUCCUUCACAGAGCAGGGAAAUUCUCUCAGGACUCUGACUGGGACCGACAAUGGUGACAAACCCAUUUCCUCAUUCCCACACACAUCAGGGGCAUUUGGCUCCCAAGGAUCCAGCUGCUCAUCACUGGGGUGAGGAUUCAGCAGCAGCUGAGCAUCAGCUGGUCAGUGCCCCUCUGGCUCUGCCUGGUCUAAGCAAACCCCAGGCAGAGGAGGAGAAACCCCCAUCAGCCCCUCCUCCCUGCUGCAGCCCUGGCUGCUGAGCUGAUGGGCCACAGGUCGGGGAAGGGAAAGAGAGAAACUCCUCCAGCCACUCCCUCUGCCGGACUGAUGUCCCCCCCCCUUUUCCUCCCAGCCGGGAUCCCCCUGCCAUGGAGAUGAGGAGAAGGACACUUGAGCCAGGCCCCACCUUCACUCUAGAUGCCUGUCUCCAUCCCCAUAUCUUCCAUCAGCCCCUGGGCUGGGCUCCUCACUUACCUUGGGCUGGUAACUCCUCCCCUCCCCAAAUCCUCCAGGGUGCUGGUCUCUGGGGGAACAAACGUUAAGACACAGACUAACACGGCUACCACUCUGAAACCUAAGCUUAGUUUGCGUGUUUUGUUUUAUUUGCUUAGUAAUCUGCUUUGGUCUGUUUGCUAGCCCUUAAAAUCACUAAAAUUUACCUUUUGUAGUUAAUAAACUCAUUUCUGGUUUAUACAAAAACUCAGAUUGUGCAGUUCAUAACUCAGGGCAUGGGGAGGGAGAAAGCUGUGCAUAUCUACCUCCACCUUUUGGGAGCGGGCGAAUUUCAUGGCUUAUGCUAUGUGGAUUUCUAUGCAGCAUAAGCUAAUAUAAUUUUGGGUUUACACUCCAGGGGUGUGUGCACAGGAGUGGUGGCCAUUGCCCAAGCUGAGUUCUCCCACUGAGAGCUGAUUGCAGACUCUGUGAUUCUACAGCUGGGUGUGUCCCUACUUGUGUGUGUGCUAGAAAGGGGCUUAAGAGCUGGUCUCAGCAACACAGAGUGAGGGAAACCCAGGCUGGUGAGACAGGCGGACUUAGGGGGACCCCAGCACAUCCGGUGGCACCCUAAAAGGUGAUCUAACCUGUCACACUUUGAAACGGCAGUGUUUGCUCUUGCAAGCCAGAGAGCUGAGGCUGAGAACUGUGAACUCACUGCAUGUGUCCCAGAGAGAGAGAAAAUGUCCUGCAAGUGCUGGGUGAAGUCAUCCUUGAACUCCGAAGGGCUACCAAUGAUGCCCCAAGGGGACUGAUGAGGAGAGGGGUCGGUGUCUUCCCAUUACUGAGAAGAGGCCAGGUAAAUACCUCUCUCAUGGACUGUGAGUUUUUCUACCCGAUUUAACUUGUUCCUCUUUUCCUGGGGCGCGUGUGUGGUUGGAGCACCAAUGUCCUGGGAUGAGGCUGAAAUGCACCGUGCCGAGCUGGGUGUUGGAGCAGGGGUGGGGAGGGGAGGGAAUUUAGCUUUUAUUUCUUGUUUUAAAAAGAAUAAAGUUGAAUUGUUUUAAAUAAGGGUGGGGCAGGUGAAUGGUCUUUAAUGGACUCAUUCAGACACUGUCUGGCUGUCACUCAUUGACGCAGCUGGGGAAAAGGCUUGUAUCGUUCUGGGGUGUAUUAAUGUGAGUGUUGUAGGUAAGUUUUGGGAGGUAAUGUUGGCCAACCUAAUCAUUGCAAAUUAUGAUUUAUAAGCAGUCUAAAUGAGCUCUCCCUGACAGCUAGUGAUGAGCUUAGUCUGGGGGGAAAAGGCUUCAGGACCAGAUUGUAUUUACAUUCACACCCAAUUUACCUAGGUAUCUAGCAAACAGAGCUGUGUUGCUCACGUGAUAGAUUUUGGCUGGGGUUGGGUUACAAAUCACACAGGGGUGUAAUGAAAUGUUAUUCUUAUUGUAUGAGUAAAAGACAGUAGAACUGUACUUCACCUGUGCUGAUUGAGGGCAUCAAGAGAGAGGGAGGAGACAGGUGUUUUGCUUGAUGGUCUGUGUGAGUCACAAGUACUAUUUGACUUGCCCCUCUCCACUGUUUAAAGACAGAGCUGAUUACACUCCAUAGAGAGUCUUUUGUUUUAAGUGACCACUGCAGCUGAAAUCACUGAUAAUCAGGUCUAAGUGCUUAGACUUGCUGUGGGACAGUGUUUCUGUGGAAGAGAUGGCCCAGCCUGCACUAGCUGCGAGGUUCCCCCACUGAGAGCUCAGCUGAAAUCAGUGAGAACUGCGUGGAACCCAAUUCGUAGAGGUCUCAGUGGCAGGUGGCAGCAGAAGGUGACUGUGCAGGGCCAUUGGCAACAGAGCGAUGGAGUGAAUGGUGGCAGAAUGAACAACAGUGGCCAGAGCAAACAGUGAGCAUCUGGAGGAAUGAGAAAGGUGCCUUCUUGCCCCCCACCUGGAAGGUGAACUCAUGUGAAAGCACCGCUGAACUCUGAGUCUCCAUUGACCAAGAACAACACCAGUGAGUGUUAAUGAGGCUGUAUCAUAAACAGAUAGUUAAGGGUUAAUGCCUCUUACCUGAAGUUCACCUAGCCUAGCUAACACCUGACCAGAGGAACCAAUGGGGGAACAAGAAGUUUCAAAAGGAAGGAGGGAAGUUUCCUUUGCUUAGAGUCAGUUUCAGUUUCAGCUGGAGAAAAAAGAUCAAGGAACCAGCCUCUUAUCAGAGUAGUAAGUUUUAGAAAGGAAUAAAUAGGUUUAUGUUUAUUUUCUUUUUGUAACUUGUCUUUGUGCAAUUAGGGGAAUUAUCAAAUUGGGUAUUCUUGUGUGUAUUAAGGUUUUUGCCCAGGGGAACAUACUGUGUUUUAAAUCUGUUGUCUGUGAGGUCAGCUGUAUGCUAUCUCCUAGAGGUUUUAUUUUCUUUUACCUUUCUUCUCUUUAAUUAAAAGCCUUCUUUUGAAAAACCUGAAUUGAUUUUUCCUUAUUU